rnacentral:rRNA from 1 species
GGGUUGUGAGGUUAAGCGACUAAGCGUACACGGUGGAUGCCCUGGCAGUCAGAGGCGAUGAAGGACGUGCUAAUCUGCGAUAAGCGUCGGUAAGGUGAUAUGAACCGUUAUAACCGGCGAUUUCCGAAUGGGGAAACCCAGUGUGAUUCGUCACACUAUCAUUAACUGAAUCCAUAGGUUAAUGAGGCGAACCGGGGGAACUGAAACAUCUAAGUACCCCGAGGAAAAGAAAUCAACCGAGAUUCCCCCAGUAGCGGCGAGCGAACGGGGAGCAGCCCAGAGCCUGAAUCAGUGUGUGUGUUAGUGGAAGCGUCUGGAAAGGCGUGCGAUACAGGGUGACAGCCCCGUACACAAAAAUGCACAUACUGUGAGCUCGAUGAGUAGGGCGGGACACGUGGUAUCCUGUCUGAAUAUGGGGGGACCAUCCUCCAAGGCUAAAUACUCCUGACUGACCGAUAGUGAACCAGUACCGUGAGGGAAAGGCGAAAAGAACCCCGGCGAGGGGAGUGAAAAAGAACCUGAAACCGUGUACGUACAAGCAGUGGGAGCACGCUUAGGCGUGUGACUGCGUACCUUUUGUAUAAUGGGUCAGCGACUUAUAUUCUGUAGCAAGGUUAACCGAAUAGGGGAGCCGAAGGGAAACCGAGUCUUAACUGGGCGUUAAGUUGCAGGGUAUAGACCCGAAACCCGGUGAUCUAGCCAUGGGCAGGUUGAAGGUUGGGUAACACUAACUGGAGGACCGAACCGACUAAUGUUGAAAAAUUAGCGGAUGACUUGUGGCUGGGGGUGAAAGGCCAAUCAAACCGGGAGAUAGCUGGUUCUCCCCGAAAGCUAUUUAGGUAGCGCCUCGUGAAUUCAUCUCCGGGGGUAGAGCACUGUUUCGGCAAGGGGGUCAUCCCGACUUACCAACCCGAUGCAAACUGCGAAUACCGGAGAAUGUUAUCACGGGAGACACACGGCGGGUGCUAACGUCCGUCGUGAAGAGGGAAACAACCCAGACCGCCAGCUAAGGUCCCAAAGUCAUGGUUAAGUGGGAAACGAUGUGGGAAGGCCCAGACAGCCAGGAUGUUGGCUUAGAAGCAGCCAUCAUUUAAAGAAAGCGUAAUAGCUCACUGGUCGAGUCGGCCUGCGCGGAAGAUGUAACGGGGCUAAACCAUGCACCGAAGCUGCGGCAGCGACGCUUAUGCGUUGUUGGGUAGGGGAGCGUUCUGUAAGCCUGUGAAGGUGUGCUGUGAGGUAUGCUGGAGGUAUCAGAAGUGCGAAUGCUGACAUAAGUAACGAUAAAGCGGGUGAAAAGCCCGCUCGCCGGAAGACCAAGGGUUCCUGUCCAACGUUAAUCGGGGCAGGGUGAGUCGACCCCUAAGGCGAGGCCGAAAGGCGUAGUCGAUGGGAAACAGGUUAAUAUUCCUGUACUUGGUGUUACUGCGAAGGGGGGACGGAGAAGGCUAUGUUGGCCGGGCGACGGUUGUCCCGGUUUAAGCGUGUAGGCUGGUUUUCCAGGCAAAUCCGGAAAAUCAAGGCCGAGGCGUGAUGACGAGGCACUACGGUGCUGAAGCAACAAAUGCCCUGCUUCCAGGAAAAGCCUCUAAGCAUCAGGUAACAUCAAAUCGUACCCCAAACCGACACAGGUGGUCAGGUAGAGAAUACCAAGGCGCUUGAGAGAACUCGGGUGAAGGAACUAGGCAAAAUGGUGCCGUAACUUCGGGAGAAGGCACGCUGAUACGUAGGUGAAGCGACUUGCUCGUGGAGCUGAAAUCAGUCGAAGAUACCAGCUGGCUGCAACUGUUUAUUAAAAACACAGCACUGUGCAAACACGAAAGUGGACGUAUACGGUGUGACGCCUGCCCGGUGCCGGAAGGUUAAUUGAUGGGGUUAGCGCAAGCGAAGCUCUUGAUCGAAGCCCCGGUAAACGGCGGCCGUAACUAUAACGGUCCUAAGGUAGCGAAAUUCCUUGUCGGGUAAGUUCCGACCUGCACGAAUGGCGUAAUGAUGGCCAGGCUGUCUCCACCCGAGACUCAGUGAAAUUGAACUCGCUGUGAAGAUGCAGUGUACCCGCGGCAAGACGGAAAGACCCCGUGAACCUUUACUAUAGCUUGACACUGAACAUUGAGCCUUGAUGUGUAGGAUAGGUGGGAGGCUUUGAAGUGUGGACGCCAGUCUGCAUGGAGCCGACCUUGAAAUACCACCCUUUAAUGUUU